GCUGACACGUAAGCACUCCACAUGCCCUGUGCAAGUGCCUUCAUGUGAAAUUGCCCGGCUCUUCCCAUAUGACUUGCCAAGAGCCUUUCAGCAAUUCCACGCUCUUUUCUUCUGCAUCCGGCACUAAGCUCCUGAAAGUGUAGAGCUGGCAACGAAGAUAACAUCAGCUAUCUUAUUCUCAAUACCCGGAAUAUGCACAGCCUUCCACCAAAUAUUAUGUUUCAAAAUAACAAUACUAGAUUUCGCAACAAAUUAAUAACAAAGCAUCUUUUAGAAUGCAUAGAAUUAAAGACCUGUACAACUGCCUUAUUGUCGCAGUGGAACAAUAUUCGUUUAUUCUGCAGUUCUUUUUCUCAUACCAAACUUGCUGCUACAAUUGGUAACAAUUCCAAAAGGGGGCUACAUUCCUGGUCAACCCUUGCUCUACCCAUUUAUCUGACCACUGAGCAAAGGCCCCUU